rnacentral:lncRNA from 1 species
GGCAGCGGAGGUAGGGGAGAGGGGGAGGGAGAUCCGGUGCAGAACUACCAUGCUGCAGACUUGAGGCGCCCAACCCCGGCCACCACGACGAGUCGACGACUCUGCCUCCUGAAGCACGACCUCCGCCACCUCCCUGCUGCACGGAAGCGACGAUGCCGCCGCCUCUCAACAAUCGACUUCCCGUGCUCCCGCAAAAAAACCCCUUCAGAUAGUGGAGUGGCAUCGGUCCCAUAGUUUUCAACAUCAGGUUGGUGUCUGCACCUUUGCUCCAAAAUUGUCACAUGCCUGCCAGGUCAUGCAAAGUUAAUCCGACGUUCCCUCUUGCAUUAUAUUGGUCUCAAAAGAACAUGUAUUGUAUCAUAAUUAUAGGAUUACCGAUGCACACCAUUGUGAUUAUUUCAGUGUCGUCACAGGUCCGUUCUCUUUUUCAUGAAGUUGGCUAGGGGCUUUGGCCACAUGACAACUUUCGUUUGAAAUAUGGAAGAUAUAAAUCAGUGAAGUUGAUGUCAUACCACUCAUGUUUCGGCACUGUACGGAAAACUUUGAGAUCUAUAUUGUCAUCCCAACAGAUGAAGACAUGGAUUACAUAUUAAAAGUGCAUCAAUGUUCUGUUAUUCAACACCAUAUGUCUAGUAUAUCAUUGACAACCAAUGAUUUUUUUAUGCUUGAAAAAUACUUCAUCGCUGCACUAUGAUGGUAAGAUAUGUUUUGUCUUCCUCUAAGGAAACUUCAUAGUUCCAACACUGUUUAAUUUUUGCAGCACUAGAGUUCUUUUGAAUGUAUGAGAUUCCAAAUUAUAUUAUGAUUUUUCAUUCACAAUGCUUUCUUCAUUCCCGUUAUCGUGACCUUCAUGGUAAUCAUUGCCACCUAAAUCUAGCAAAUAAUCACCAGUUAUGUAUGGUUCAAUAUUUGUGCAUCACCAGUUUGUAAAGGGUUCCGUAUAUCAAUUCGUUGAACUUUGUUGCUAUAUUAAUAUGUACAUUUCUAUGAAAUGUACAUGAUUUUAUUUUUGUUGGUGGUGUAGACUCAUUGGAUUAUUCCAUUUUUAUGUCAGUUUGAUUCUGGGGAUGACCCAAAAUUUGCCAAAGGAGUAGUGAAGUGGGUGCUCAAAUCUUCAUCUUUUGGUUUCUUUAAAAUGAUUUGGCAUCUCCAAGUAAUGUUCCCUUCUUAUUGUGAGUAACAUGGGGCAAAUCUUCAUGGAAUAUACUGUAGAGAACCACAACAUUGAGGGCGUUCUCCUUUGCUAAUUGGCCAUUACCAAUCGAGGUGCCAUCAGUUUUGUGACCAUGUUUAUUACUCUCGCUCAUGAUUUUGUUGCCUUUCACUUGUGGUCUGGCAAGGGAUCUUUUAUGUAUGGUCUCAUUGCAGUAUUGUUUAUCUAAUUGUAUAAUUCAUCUAUGCUGAGAAUAAAUGCAAAAACAUAGAAAGUGGGUUGUGUUCUUGCUCCAUUCUUCUACUUGAUGCAUCUGUCUUUUAUCCUCCCAUGUCAUGACGUCAUGUGAUCAAUCUUUUUGUUGGGAACAGUAAUACAACUAUUGCUAUUUUGUAUAACUACGAGCUUCCUUAUUGACAUGCAGCGUUACUAAUCCAGCAGAGCUCCUGAUUCCAUGGCGUGCCUUAGUCUUUUGGCGGGCAUAUUAAAAGUUCAGGUAUCUUUUAUUCCAUUUCAAUUUGCUUUGGAGAUUUUCUAUCGGCUCAAGUACUCAUGUCAAGGAAUAUAGCUAUAUUUUCCUUGGAAUUUUCUUUUGCCCUGCAAUGCUAAUGGAGAAUAGGUAACCAAAUUAUUGGAGGGAUAGAGAUUGUUAAAGAAUAGAUAAACAAACUAUUUGCCAUGGAAAUUGCUAUUCAGAGACUUGGUGCAUUUGGGAAGUAUGUAAUGACCAAGUCUUUGAUAAUGUACUUCCAAAUUUUGGUUGGUGCAAAAUUCCCGUUAUUAGCACCUACACAUAGAAUUGUACUGGACAGUGAAAAGUAAAUUUCUCUUUCCCCUUGAACUCAUAACAUUAUUCCAUGUGACUGAAAGAGUAAUCUGAUCAUCAAAAU